UACGGAGGGUGCAAGCAUUAAUCGGAUUUAUUGGGCGUAAAGGGCGUGUAGGCGGAGACAUAAGUCUGACGUGAAAUUCCGGAACUCAACUCCGGAGCUGCGUUGGAAACUGCGUUUCUUGAGGGUAGACGGAGAAAAUGGAAUUCCACAUGUAGCGGUGAAAUGCGUAGAUAUGUGGAGGAACACCUGUGGCGAAAGCGAUUUUCUAGUUUAUACCUGACGCUAAGGCGCGAAAGCAAGGGGAGCAAACAGG
rnacentral:rRNA from 1 species